rnacentral:ncRNA from 1 species
AAGCCUGCAAAAAGCGGGAAACCUAAAGCUCUACAUAAAUCUCCACAGUAUAUUUCAGUUGCGGCUCAGGGACCGGGACGUCGUUACCUCUACC